GCCGUUGUAGCUCAGUUGGUUAGAGCGUCGCCAUGGUAAGGCGAAGGUCAGCAGUUCAAUUCUGCUCAACGGCUCCU
rnacentral:tRNA from 1 species